GACCGCCAGGCCGGCCCUCUCCGCCAGCUUCUCUAGCCGGUUGCCGACGGCCCUUAGGUUCCCCCCGCUGUUGUUGUUGGUGAACGGGGACGUGGGGUCCGAGACGGCAGUGAUCCGGAGGGAGGGUGCGCCGGCGGCGGGGCGGAGAUGGUGGCGUUCCGCGAGAGCAUGGAGGAGGACGGCGUACUGGCCGCCCUGGCCAACAUCGAAGUCAAGGAUAUGGAUCAUGGGCUGCUCCUUGGUGGCCUCCAAAAUCGCCAAAUUGGCGGUAAUAAGGCCGAGCUUGAAGCAAGGGGAGAGUUCGUAGAGCAUCUGCGUUGCCGCGAAGUGCUCCGCGCUGCAGAGCGCCGCGAUCGGGAGAGAGGAACUCCCAGCCUGCGGCAGCUUUAGCCGAGAGAUGAGCGCGUCGACCAUCACCGCCGUCAGUCGCUGCUCCGCGUCGCCUCGGGGGUUCGCAACGCGUUUCAGGACGACGAGGUUCGCGGUGGCUGUCUCGAGGUUCCCGUCCGCGAUAGCAGCGGCGGUCUCGAGGAGCAUCUGCCGCGAAGAUGAAGCCACCGACGACGAGGAGGGCGAGCACGAGGCGGAGGACGAGACGGUGGUGGAAGAGGAAUUGGUGGGCGAAGCGGAAAGCGGGUUCUUUGCCGACGUCGGCGGCGUGAUGAGCUGCUGCAUCGCCUCGCUCCACUCGGCCGUGGUCACGGCCGAGCCUGACGUGCUGACAUC
rnacentral:lncRNA from 1 species